GGUUGCGUGGCCCAGUGGUUAAGGCAUCUGCUUUACAGUGCAUCAACUUUCAAACGGUUGUUCUCAGUGAACGCAGAGGAUCGCAGGUUCGAGCCCUGCCGCGAUCA